CAGCCAAGCCAGCCAAGCCAGCCAGCAAAGCCACCCAAGCGAGCCAAGCCACCCAAGCCGCCAAGCCAGCCAACCAAGCCACCCAGGCAGCCCAGCCAGCCAAGCCACAGAGCCACCCAAGCCAGCCAAGCCACCCAGCGAGCCAAGCCAGCCAAGCCAGCACAGCCGGCCAAGCCAGCCAAGCCAUCCAAGCCAGACAAGCCACCCAGCCAGCCAAGCCAGCCAAGCCACCCAGCCAAAGCCAGCCAGGCAGUCAAGCCAGCCAGUCAGCCAAGACAGCCAAGCCAGCCAGGCAGCCAGCCAAGCCAGCCAGCCAGCCAAGCCAGCCAAGCCACACAGCCAGCCAAGCCAGCCAAGCCAGCUAGCCAGCCAAGCCUGCCAGCCAGCCAAGCCAGCCAAGCCACCCAGCCAAAGCCAGCCAGCCAGCCAAGCCAGCCAGACAGCCAGGCAAACCAAGCCACCCAGCCAGCCAGGCCAGCCAAGCCAGCCAAGCCACCCAGCCAGCCAAGGCAGCCAAGCCUCCCAGCCAAAGCCAGCCAGCAAUCCAAGCCAGCCUAGCCAGCCAGCCAGCCAUGCCAGCCAAGCCAGCCAGCCAGUCAAGCCAGCCAAGAAAUCCAGCCGGCCAAGGCAGCCAAGCCACCCAGCCGGACAAGCUAGCCAAGUCAGCCAAGACACCCAGCCGGCCAAGCCAGCCAAGCCACCCAGCCCGCCAAGCCAGCCAAACCACCCAGCCAAAGCCAGCCAGCCAAGCCAGCCAAGCCAGCCAGGCCAGCCAAGCCACCCAGCCAGCCAAGCCAGCCAAGCCAGCCAGCCAAAGCCGGCCAGC
rnacentral:lncRNA from 10 species